AUACGAAGGGUACAAGCGUUACUCGGAAUUACUGGGCGUAAAGCGUGCGUAGGUGGUUGUUUAAGUCUGUCGUGAAAGCCCUGGGCUCAACCUGGGAAUGGCGAUGGAAACUGGGCGACUAGAGUGUGGCAGAGGGUAGUGGAAUUCCUGGUGUAGCAGUGAAAUGCGUAGAGAUCAGGAGGAACAUCCGUGGCGAAGGCGACUGCCUGGGCCAACACUGACACUGAGGCACGAAAGCGUGGGGAGCAAACAGGAUUAGAUACCCUGGUAGUCCACGCCCUAAACGAUGCGAACUGGAUGUUGGGUGCAAUUUGGCACGCAGUAUCGAAGCUAACGCGUUAAGUUCGCCGCCUGGGGAGUACGGUCGCAAGACUGAAACUCAAAGGAAUUGACGGGG
rnacentral:rRNA from 1 species